rnacentral:rRNA from 1 species
AUGAUGAACAGGGGGCCUGGUGGAUAUCGGGGAGGAGGAAGAUUUAAUAGAGGGGGGAGAGAUAGUUUCCAGUAUAGAAGAAAGGAAGAAGACCUAGAUAGAUUCAGAGAGAUCUACCCCAACAAUGAUAGAGGAGGUGGAAGAUUUGGGUACAGAGAAGAAUCAAGAAAAUCUGAUCAGCAGGGGGAGGAAAAGAAGAGAGGGAUGGCAGAUCUGAGGUUGCCUGUGAGUUCCAAGGAAGAAAAUGUGAAGAAGUUGCAAGAGGAACAUAUGACUAGAGAUCUUAAGGGCAAAGAUGAUGUCGCGGCGCUGGCUCCCUCCUUUGAUCUGAUCCAACAGCAACAGUGGUUUGGGGCUUUGAUGGCCCAGAUGGCCCAACAAAAGAUGGAAAGCUCAUCUGGGGGAGGAAAUGUUGUCCUCUCUAGUAGCAGUAGAUGCGAUAUGCCUGAUGAGACCAAAAAAGUGCUUGCUGGAGGGAAAGAAUCCAUGAAAAAAAGUAAAGCUGAUAUGGAUAUGGGAAAUAAACAAGGGCAGAAAGGAUGGAUACAGAGCAACAGGUUUGGACAAAGAGAGAACAUGGAUCAGAACAAUGCUGGGGGUAAUUUCAGAAUGUUGUGCAACAAGUGCAAAGACACCAGACAUCUGACUAGAGACUGCAAGUUACCUAAUUGCAUCAUCUGUGGCAAGAACUCUCAUGUCACUGAGGAAUGUGCAUGGCUGAAGCAAAUCAAACCUACCCCAAAGUUUAUUGGAUAUGCUGCCAGAGGUCUAGGUGUGCUGCUGGUACAGAACUCAAAAGAGAUAGUUAGUAGUGAACAGACUAAUCCUAUGGCCAUUGUGAACAUAUCUUCAGGGGAGAUCAAUGAAACACAGUUCCUGGAGGGGUUCAAUUAUAUGUUCAGCUGGAACUAG